rnacentral:rRNA from 1 species
GGAAUCUUGGACAAUGGGCGCAAGCCUGAUCCAGCCAUGCCGCGUGAAUGAUGAAGGCCUUAGGGUUGUAAAAUUCUUUCGCAGGGGACGAUAAUGACGGUACCCUGAUAAGAAGCUCCGGCUAACUUCGUGCCAGCAGCCGCGGUAAUACGAAGGGGGCUAGCGUUGUUCGGAAUUACUGGGCGUAAAGCGCGUGUAGGCGGACCGUUAAGUCGGGGGUGAAAGCCCAGAGCUCAACUCUGGAAUUGCCUUCGAUACUGGCGGUCUGGACCCAAGUAGAGGCGAGUGGAAUUACGAGUGUAGAGGUGAAAUUCGUAGAUAUUCGUAGGAACACCAGUGGCGAAGGCGACUCGCUGGGCUUGUGGUGACGCUGAGACGCGAAAGCGUGGGGAGCAAAC